rnacentral:sRNA from 1 species
GGAUGCGCGCCUGCGCCGGCCCUCGCCUCGGAGCAGCCAUGAUGGAAGGCCUGGACGACGGCCCGGACUUCCUCUCAGAAGAGGACCGCGGACUUAAAGCAAUAAAUGUAGAUCUUCAAAGUGAUGCUGCUCUGCAGGUGGACAUUUCUGAUGCUCUUAGUGAGCGGGAUAAAGUAAAAUUCACUGUUCACACAAAGAGUUCAUUGCCAAAUUUUAAACAAAACGAGUUUUCAGUUGUUCGGCAACAUGAGGAAUUUAUCUGGCUUCAUGAUUCCUUUGUUGAAAAUGAAGACUAUGCAGGUUAUAUCAUUCCACCAGCACCACCAAGACCUGAUUUUGAUGCUUCAAGGGAAAAACUACAGAAGCUUGGUGAAGGAGAAGGGUCAAUGACGAAGGAAGAAUUCACAAAGAUGAAACAGGAACUGGAAGCGUAAGUGAUUUUUUUAUUUUUUUGUUUUUUAUUUUUUGGUUGUUGUUGCCUUUGUUAAUUGUGCUUGCUUUAAUGCCUUUUUUGGUGUUUUCUGAUAUCCCAUCAUUAAA